UUUAUCUGAACGGGCAUUAGUUUUUGCCGGCCGAUGGCGUGCACCCACCAGUUCUCCGCGAGGUUAGAUUAUUCAUUAUAUGGAGCAAUCCUUCGCCCUUCUUCUGCUAUCCUUUUAGGUUAUACUUGCGUGUGUACGUACGUGUGCAUGGCUGUAAGUCACCGGACACUCGCUUAAUUUGGAUGAAACGACUAUUAAAACACGUUAUUGACUCAAGUUUUUAGGUUAUACGUGUGCGUGUGUACAUUGUCGUUUGUAAGUUAAUGGACAUUUGCUUCAUUUAAUGGAAAUGAUUGGCAGAACGUUGAUUCAGUUUUAAGUUGUACGUAUGUAUAUAUAAGUUGGUCACUUGCCUCCAUUUGAAUGAUUAUCGGAAUAUUGAUUCAAUUUUAGGAUACACAUUUUUAGGUUAUAUUGUCGUGUACAUGUUACUGGAUGUUUUCUCUGUUUGAACAAAAAUGAUUAUUCGGAGCAUAAGGCAAAGUGUUUUAUUAUAUAAUGAUAUUAAUGGAGGACACGCGGAAAUGUGAUUGAAAGAGAUUGAACUGUAACAUUGAAGAACAAUCGUCGCGUUAAUACUAGACGAUUAAAGUGUAAUAUUCGUAGCAGAGAGAAAUUGAAGUGCAAUAAAAGGAAAUUAUAGAUUGUGUUCUACUGUUAAGGCAAUGCUUCCUUUAUCAUAAAUUGGAAAUAUAAAAAAGAGACCAAUCGGCUACGACUUGAAAUGGCACUUGCAUAAGACUAACAGAUCUUGUAUAUCAAAAAUUGGAAAUAUACACGUAAAAGAAAUAACACUUGACACUACAACUAUCGACGACUCCAUCAGAAAAAAAGACAUUACAGUAUAAAAAGC